AGUGAACGCUGGCGGUAGGCCUAACACAUGCAAGUCGAACGGCAGCACAGUAAGAGCUUGCUCUUACGGGUGGCGAGUGGCGGACGGGUGAGGAAUGCAUCGGAAUCUACUUUUUCGUGGGGGAUAACGUAGGGAAACUUACGCUAAUACCGCAUACGACCUACGGGUGAAAGCAGGGGAUCUUCGGACCUUGCGCGAUUGAAUGAGCCGAUGUCGGAUUAGCUAGUUGGCGGGGUAAAGGCCCACCAAGGCGACGAUCCGUAGCUGGUCUGAGAGGAUGAUCAGCCACACUGGAACUGAGACACGGUCCAGACUCCUACGGGAGGCAGCAGUGGGGAAUAUUGGACAAUGGGCGCAAGCCUGAUCCAGCCAUACCGCGUGGGUGAAGAAGGCCUUCGGGUUGUAAAGCCCUUUUGUUGGGAAAGAAAAGCAGCAGGUUAAUACCCCGCUGUUCUGACGGUACCCAAAGAAUAAGCACCGGCUAACGUCGU
rnacentral:rRNA from 1 species